AUAUCCAUAUCUACAUAGUGGGCUUGAUUGUGGGGAAAACUCCAUAGUUAAGCGUUCUUGAGCCAGAGGAGUCUUGGGAUGGGUGACCACCUGGGAAGUCCUGGU
rfam:Picea glauca, whole genome shotgun sequence.